rnacentral:lncRNA from 1 species
UAACAUCUUAUAGUUCUCAAAAAUAAAACUCUGAAAGCUAUGUUAAAUAUAUUUCUUACUCUUGCACAUGUGAGUAAGGUCAGAUCCAGGUCAGUGUCAAGAUGUCCUGGCCAGAAAUCUCUUUUGAUCUCUAAAAUUGUCUGAUGAAAGUUAUGUUCUUUCUAUAGUUGGUAAUCCCCAAAUGGAUUUUAUGUAUUUUAGUAGUAGCUAGAAAUUUGGUCUUUAAACAUCCACUCAAAGUUUUGUAUUGAUAUCACCCUUUUGACAUGCUAUAUCAUGAAAAUAUGUACAAACAUGGUGAAAUUUAUCAAAAUUAUCAUUGAACUAUACAGAUCAUGUAAUGUGAGUGCAGUAGUUGAACUUACUACUGAAGCAUGCAUUCCCCUAUAGAGUUGAGAUUCUAUCCUUUCAUCAGAGAAGUACUGUCUGAAAAAAAUCAGGGGAGGAUCACGUACUAAAAAAACCCUCCUGAGGUUCUCAAAGAAAAACAAUUUAGAAAAUAUCAUUAUGAACUUUGAGAAUAAAUAAUUAUGUUGGAUAAAAGCCCUGCAGGCCAUGUCUUUUUUUUCUUAUUUUUUGCAUCAAUCUAGAGGCAGGAGGAGGACAAUGUGCAAGGCAACACUCUGCCCAUUCAACCUAGAGCUCCUCAGGGUUUAAUCUUAAUUUUUCCUUUCCAGGGGCCUCAUGUCUACAAUUUAUGAGGAUGUCAGUCAUAAGAUAUUUUUCCAGCAUGGACCAAAUAUAGCAUGUGUUGAAACGUGUAAAGAAAGCCAGAGGGAAGGGUAUGUGAAGAAAAGCUGUGGACUGAGGAAUCAAAGGUGGCUGUCAACCAGGAAUGAUUUUGUUCACCAGGGGACAUUUACUAACACCUGGAAGUAUUUUUGAUUGCCACAACUGGAGACGUGUUACUCCCAUCUAGUGUUAGAGGCCAGGGACGCAGCUACAAUGCCCGGAGCCAUCUUUCACGGCAAUAAUUUGGCCCAAAAUGUGAAAAGUGCUGAGGUUACACUGCUUUAGUGUAUCUUGUUUGUGGCCCAUCCAGACAGACCUCCAUUAUUGGCUGAUGCAUCCAUGCUCUAGUUGCCGUGAGCAUUAGCUGAUAAUGAUGCUUCUUAAUGACUCUCUUCUCCAGAUAAUUGAAUCUAAAUAAAUUGGAACCACCUUCUCCAGGAAGGCUACAAACCACAUUAUCCCAUCCCACCUCAGAUAAUGUCCAAUAACUGACUAAUAUAUGAGUACAAAUUGUGUUUCCUUUUUCCCAUCUCAAGUGGGAAGGAACUCUGUGGGUGUUUAUCUUUAGCUGACACUGAAUUCUUAGAUUUUUCUAUUGUCCCAUUAUGCCCCUUUGCUCUCCUUCCCUUGAGGAUACUCCCACAAUAAAUCACUUCAUCAAGAAUAUCUUCUUCAAGUUCUUCUUCUAAAGAAUUUGAUGUAGGACCAUGUUGCAUGGCCCUGGGAAGCAGAUUCAACAAAUGGAAUUCUGGAGAUGAAUCACUUUCAUGUCAGAUGCUAAUGAGGACUUCAACACUGGUAAUAGAGAACUAAUAGUUGCUGCUAUGCUUUUUAUUGAGUUUGCUAAGAACUUCUUCUCUAGUGAACUGAUGUAGGUUGAAGAGGACAUGUACUAACACAUGCAUUUUCUCUGGCAUUUUAGAGUCUGGAGCAAAUAGUAUCUAUAAGAACCAUAGAAUUAUGUGGCUACUGUGAAUUGGCA